rnacentral:rRNA from 1 species
AGAGUUUGAUCAUGGCUCAGGACGAACGCUGGCGGCGUGCUUAACACAUGCAAGUCGAACGGAAAGGCCCUUCGGGGUGCUCGAGUGGCGAACGGGUGAGUAACACGUGGGUGAUCUGCCCUGCACUUUGGGAUAAGCCUGGGAAACUGGGUCUAAUACCGAAUACACCCUGCUGGUUGCAUGACCUGGUGGGGGAAAGCUUUUGCGGUGUGGGAUGGGCCCGCGGCCUAUCAGCUUGUUGGUGGGGUGAUGGCCUACCAAGGCGACGACGGGUAGCCGGCCUGAGAGGGUGACCGGCCACACUGGGACUGAGAUACGGCCCAGACUCCUACGGGAGGCAGCAGUGGGGAAUAUUGCACAAUGGGCGCAAGCCUGAUGCAGCGACGCCGCGUGGGGGAUGACGGCCUUCGGGUUGUAAACCUCUUUCAGUAGGGACGAAGCGUGAGUGACGGUACCUACAGAAGAAGGACCGGCCAACUACGUGCCAGCAGCCGCGGUAAUACGUAGGGUCCGAGCGUUGUCCGGAAUUACUGGGCGUAAAGAGCUCGUAGGUGGUUUGUCGCGUUGUUCGUGAAAACCGGGGGCUUAACCCUCGGCGUGCGGGCGAUACGGGCAGACUGGAGUACUGCAGGGGAGACUGGAAUUCCUGGUGUAGCGGUGGAAUGCGCAGAUAUCAGGAGGAACACCGGUGGCGAAGGCGGGUCUCUGGGCAGUAACUGACGCUGAGGAGCGAAAGCGUGGGGAGCGAACAGGAUUAGAUACCCUGGUAGUCC